UACAGAGGGUGCGAGCGUUGUUCAGAAUUAUUGGGCGUAAAGGGUGCGUAGGCGGGUCUUUUAAGUCAGGGGUGAAAUCCUGGAGCUCAACUCCAGAACUGCCUUUGAUACUGAGGAUCUUGAGUUCGGGAGAGGUGAGUGGAACUGCGAGUGUAGAGGUGAAAUUCGUAGAUAUUCGCAAGAACACCAGUGGCGAAGGCGGCUCACUGGCCCGAUACUGACGCUGAGGCACGAAAGCGUGGGGAGCAAACAGGG
rnacentral:rRNA from 1 species